rnacentral:lncRNA from 1 species
CAGGUCGGGCUCGGGUACUUGGUUAUAUGGCGGGCUCAAGCUUGGAUUUAGGCCCAAAGCUGGCCAAAAUCUAGCUUGAAAAGUCUACAUGUGAUGUCGUCUAACCAUACCAAACCCAUUGAUGCAGGGCCUAGUGGAAAAUUAGAUUGGCCUGAUAGCCUAAAAAUUUGUGUUUGUUGAGCUCUUCGAAGUCUCGAGUAAUCUCAAUCCCUUAAAAAUCUUCGAUCACUAGAGUUCUAACACUUCCGACCUUUGAAUAUUUGCCUCCACGGCUCCAUGCCUCCACCACCAGUCUACUGCCUCUGGUAGUCGAUCAUUGGUCCACUUCUGUCGCAUUCACCCUCUUCCCCCCU